rnacentral:ncRNA from 2 species
UUGGCGCCUGGCGAUGGGGCUCGCCACAUAACCGCCUCUCCGGCUGACAGUCCCUGUACAACA